rnacentral:rRNA from 1 species
GGGUUGUGAGGUUAAGUGACUAAGCGUACACGGUGGAUGCCUAGGCAGUCAGAGGCGAUGAAGGACGUGCUAAUCUGCGAUAAGCGUCGGUGAGCUGAUAUGAAGCAUUAUUAGCCGGCGAUGUCCGAAUGGGGAAACCCAGUGCAAUCCGUUGCACUAUCGUUAAGUGAAUACAUAGCUUAACGAGGCGAACCAGGGGAACUGAAACAUCUAAGUACCCUGAGGAAAAGAAAUCAACCGAGAUUCCCCUAGUAGCGGCGAGCGAACGGGGAAGAGCCCAGAACCUGAAUCAGUUUGUGCAUUAGUGGAAGCGUCUGGAAAGUCGCGCGAUACCGGGUGAUAGCCCCGUACACGAAGGUGCACAGCUGUGAGUUCGAUGAGUAGGGCGGGACACGUGUUAUCCUGUCUGAAUAUGGGGGGACCAUCCUCCAAGGCUAAAUACUCCUGACUGACCGAUAGUGAACCAGUACCGUGAGGGAAAGGCGAAAAGAACCCCGGCGAGGGGAGUGAAAUAGAACCUGAAACCGUGUACGUACAAGCAGUGGGAGCAUCCUUCGGGGUGUGACUGCGUACCUUUUGUAUAAUGGGUCAGCGACUUAUAUUUUGUAGCAAGGUUAACCGAAUAGGGGAGCCGUAGGGAAACCGAGUCUUAACUGGGCGUCUAGUUGCAAGGUAUAGACCCGAAACCCGGUGAUCUAGCCAUGGGCAGGUUGAAGGUUGGGUAACACUAACUGGAGGACCGAACCGACUAAUGUUGAAAAAUUAGCGGAUGACUUGUGGCUGGGGGUGAAAGGCCAAUCAAACCGGGAGAUAGCUGGUUCUCCCCGAAAGCUAUUUAGGUAGCGCCUCGUGAACUCAUCUUCGGGGGUAGAGCACUGUUUCGGCUAGGGGGUCAUCCCGACUUACCAACCCGAUGCAAACUACGAAUACCGAAGAAUGUUAUCACGGGAGACACACGGCGGGUGCUAACGUCCGUCGUGAAGAGGGAAACAACCCAGACCGCCAGCUAAGGUCCCAAAGUCAUGGUUAAGUGGGAAACGAUGUGGGAAGGCAUAGACAGCCAGGAUGUUGGCUUAGAAGCAGCCAUCAUUUAAAGAAAGCGUAAUAGCUCACUGGUCGAGUCGGCCUGCGCGGAAGAUGUAACGGGGCUAAACCAUGCACCGAAGCUGCGGCAGCGACACUAUGUGUUGUUGGGUAGGGGAGCGUUCUGUAAGCCUGUGAAGGUGGCCUGUGAGGGCUGCUGGAGGUAUCAGAAGUGCGAAUGCUGACAUAAGUAACGAUAAAGCGGGUGAAAAGCCCGCUCGCCGGAAGACCAAGGGUUCCUGUCCAACGUUAAUCGGGGCAGGGUAAGUCGACCCCUAAGGCGAGGCCGAAAGGCGUAGUCGAUGGGAAACAGGUUAAUAUUCCUGUACUUGGUGUUAUUGCGAAGGGGGGACGGAGAAGGCUAGACCGGCCGGGCGACGGUUGUCCCGGUUUAAGCGUGUAGGUGUGAUGACCUGGCAAAUCCGGUUAUCUUUAACACUGAGGCGUGAUGACGAGGCACUACGGUGCUGAAGUGGUUAAUGCCCUGCUUCCAGGAAAAGCCUCUAAGCUCUAGAUAACACUGAAUCGUACCCCAAACCGACACAGGUGGUCAGGUAGAGAAUACCAAGGCGCUUGAGAGAACUCGGGUGAAGGAACUAGGCAAAAUGGUGCCGUAACUUCGGGAGAAGGCACGCUGGCAUGUAGGUGAAGUCCCUCGCGGAUGGAGCUGAAGCCAGUCGAAGAUACCAGCUGGCUGCAACUGUUUAAUAAAAACACAGCACUCUGCAAACACGAAAGUGGACGUAUAGGGUGUGACGCCUGCCCGGUGCUGGAAGGUUAAUUGAUGGGGUCAGCCGCAAGGCGAAGCUCUUGAUCGAAGCCCCAGUAAACGGCGGCCGUAACUAUAACGGUCCUAAGGUAGCGAAAUUCCUUGUCGGGUAAGUUCCGACCUGCACGAAUGGCGUAAUGAUGGCCAGGCUGUCUCCACCCGAGACUCAGUGAAAUUGAACUCGCUGUGAAGAUGCAGUGUACCCGCGGCAAGACGGAAAGACCCCGUGAACCUUUACUAUAGCUUGACACUGAACAUUGAACCUUGAUGUGUAGGAUAGGUGGGAGGCUUUGAAGUGUGGACGCCAGUCUGCAUGGAGCCGACCUUGAAAUACCACCCUUUAAUGUUUGAUGUUCUAACCUGGUCCCGUAAUCCGGGAUAGGGACAGUGUCUGGUGGGUAGUUUGACUGGGGCGGUCUCCUCCCAAAGAGUAACGGAGGAGCACGAAGGUUAGCUAAUCCUGGUCGGACAUCAGGAGGUUAGUGCAAAGGCAUAAGCUAGCUUGACUGCGAGAGUGACGGCUCGAGCAGGUGCGAAAGCAGGUCUUAGUGAUCCGGUGGUUCUGAAUGGAAGGGCCAUCGCUCAACGGAUAAAAGGUACUCCGGGGAUAACAGGCUGAUACCGCCCAAGAGUUCAUAUCGACGGCGGUGUUUGGCACCUCGAUGUCGGCUCAUCACAUCCUGGGGCUGAAGUAGGUCCCAAGGGUAUGGCUGUUCGCCAUUUAAAGUGGUACGCGAGCUGGGUUUAGAACGUCGUGAGACAGUUCGGUCCCUAUCUGCCGUGGGCGUUGGAAGAUUGAGAGGGGCUGCUCCUAGUACGAGAGGACCGGAGUGGACGCACCGCUGGUGUUCGGGUUGUGAUGCCAAUUGCAUUGCCCGGUAGCUACGUGCGGAAGAGAUAAGCGCUGAAAGCAUCUAAGCGCGAAACUUGCCUCGAGAUGAGUCUUCCCUUGGACCUUGAGUCCACUGAAGGAACGUUUAAGACUAAGACGUUGAUAGGCUGGGUGUGUAAGCGUAGCGAUACGUUGAGCUAACCAGUACUAAUGAUCCGUGAGGCUUAACCUUACAACACCGAAGGUGUUUUAG